UAGCAUGCUGUUUGUAUUUUUAUCCAGAUAUUUCCAAAGGAUGUCCAAUAAUGUGGAUAAUCAUUUUACAAUUAAAGUAAGGGAAAGGUAAUUUCUUUUUAUUUUUCAAGGAUAAAAGGGGACAUCCUUUCUGUUGUUAUUUUCAAUAGCUCGUUUGCUCAGUAAACAGACAAGAAAAAAGGAACAGGGAUAGAUUUUUUCGAUGAGGUUGCCAAUCCAUUUGUUGGUUGUGGAGAAUUGGCCUGAAGCUUAAGUGAUAUUCCUAUUCACAUUAUGCCACACCUAUUUUCAAAACAAAGACAAGGAGGAAACACAGGUUUCAUAACCUGAAAUCUCUUCAGCUUCAUCAAAUGCCAAUAGGCAACUGCAAAGGCAGAAUAAAAUACACUAAUGUGUUUUGACACAAUAAUCGUGCCUGUUUCUCCUUAAUGAUCCAAGCUGGGGAUUUCCAGCCAUACAGAGGCAGGGCAGGGCUGUCAAACCACCAGAUGUGCCCCAUACUUGUAAGGGGCAUUUACUUAAUGGACCAUCUAAACACUUGUCUACAUGUCAGCGAUGAUGCAAACAUGACAUCUCUUAGCUUGAGAGUUGCUCUUGUGUGCAGACAACUUUGUGAAGUCAUGAGAUAGGACUUGGGAAGGAAUUUUUAACUGGGAAUACAUUUCAUGGCUCAGUUGCAGGCUGAAGACUGCAGAAAGGAAUUCACUUUCAGCAACUACGUGGAUCCGUGGAGUACGUCCAUUUUAUUUCAGUUCUGCACAGCUGGCCUACUGAGAAUCUUUCUUUUUCUCUUCUCAGAGCUGAGAGACGUCUCUUUAAAGAUUUUGGAACGACUAUUGCCAACUCUGCUUGAUGAUUUUUGUUUUGUUUCUCUCAAUCGGGAUAUUUCUUCUCGCCUAGCACACUCAGCUCCUCAUUCCACAUGGUUGGAGGAAGAUGCCCACCCACAGCUCCCAAGGCCACAUGUUGUAGUUCCAGGCACAUAGAAUGACUGAAUCAAUUCCAUUCUCUGACUCUCUGCUCUAAUUCCAGAUUCCAGGGAAAAACUGCCUAGCUCACUUCAGGCUCCCCUCUCUAGUCCAGUCAGCUGUGAAAUUCCCAAGCGUGGCUUUUGUCAGCCUAUUGCUUCAGGUUAAGUGAAACCUAACGGAAUGAUUGUGAACAGUUCAGAAACUGCAGAAAGUGUCUACUAUUGUCGGAGGAGAAUGCCCAGGGACAGAUGGGUAUGGAUAAGGGAAAAUAACAGGACACUAGAAAGGAAAAUCCUAAUCUUAUUUUUCCUACAGAGUAGGAAACAGUAUUCUAAACAUGUUCCCUUCACAGAAACUGUCAGUGACCCUCAGGAGCAGCUUAGCAGAUGGGUUGAAAAAAUCAGCAGGCUGAUCAUAAGUUUUCAACACCUUGGAAACAUCAGGCUUGGCCCUUGCUACCUCAUGCAUUAUUCAACCACAAUGCAUCUUCCCUCUGAUUGUGUUAUGUGCUAGAGGAGAACAGAAAGUUCUGUCUGUCUUUAGCAAACACAUUCCAAGUACUGUCUUAAAACUGAAGCGAAGAGUGUGAAAGCUGAUCGUCGUCUCCAUUUGAGUUUUAGGACUUUGACACUUGGACAAAUAUCACUUUGUGAGGAUUCCUUUUAAUAGUUCAGUGAAUGUUUUCCAGUAUACCAGAUGCUCUGUUGGUAGUUAUAUUAGGAUUUUUUGGUUGCAAGUAUCUAAAAACUGAAAUGUACCAGCUUAUAAACUUGGAAAACCUGAAGCAGCGCUGGCUAGACCAAACGGUUCAACAGUUCAGCAAAUGUCAUCAGGAUUUGGCCUCUUCGCAUCUUUUUACUCCAAUUUCUUCUGCGGCUGCUUUACUAUUACCAGCUGUCUCUACAUAGUGGCUCCAGAUUUUAUAUUGCCUGAUUGAAAUCUAAAAAAAAAAGGAAAACAAAAAGACUUGCCCCCUCCGCCCCCAAAUCAUUUCUCUUGCUUGUUUCAGCAAAAGUCCAAGGAUUAGCCUUGAGUGGUUGUGAUUGGUCCUGGGCCCAUUUCCAUUCUAACCACUGAGUCCAGGAAGAAGGGGUACUCUUAUUGGCCAAGCCUGGGUCACAUGGGCACUCCUGGAGUUGCGAUAGAGACAGCUCCAAACUAAACCAAGGAAGGAGACUAGGGGAGGGAUGGUUCCCCAAAGGAACCUCGGGACACUGACACCCAAAGAACGGGGAAUAGAUGCUGUGAAGGCAAACCCCACAAAUGUCUACUACCUAGGCUAAGGAACAAAACACAUACAACUUACUGUCAUAAAAACUUAAUGGUAAUAGAUGUUCUACAUGAGAUAUUUGGAUAACAAAGGAGAGAAGCUAUUAAUUCUGAGAAACCUAGGAAUCAGGUUUUUCAGAAAUGGUAACAUCUACGUUGGGCCUUGAAGGAUAUGAAGAUUUUGACUGGUGAAAAUGGUGGUGGUUGAGGGGGAGGUUGAGAGAGGACAUUCUAGGCAGAGAGAGGAAUAUGCAAAUACGCUGUGAGAGAUCUAAGCGGGUGGUACAUUUUGGAAGAUACUAGACCAACAUGUAUUGAGGUCAUGUAAGUUGAUACAAAUAUGAUAUUUCUGACCCUUGAGGCCUGGCAUUGAUACAUAUGUGUAUUUACUGAAGAUGCACGUAUUUAAGCCUUCAGUUCUCAAAUUAUAGACAAGCAUGGAGACAUCACAUGUAAUGGUGAAAUCAUCAGGGACUUUGAGUUUAGUUAAACGUGGUAUGAAUCCCAUCUCAGCUAACCACUAGCUAUAUGAUCUUGGAGAAGUAAGUGAAUGUUUAGUCUCAGUGUUUUUAUCUGUAGGGUAUCGCCCUUCUGAGAAUUAACUGAGAUGACAUAUGGAAAUCACCCACAAUAGUGUCUGGGAUAUAACAGACACUUAAUAAAUACUAGUUGCUCUCUCUUCCCAUUCUUCAUGUCCAUACGCUGUGUCUAAUAAGAACAUGAAUUUGAUUUGCUUUAAUGCACACGUAGCAAUCACCUACUUGUUACCCAUGGCACUCAAAGCUAUGCUCCAACUGGGCUGUGUGUAUAUAUUGGGAACCAUGCUGGAUAAUGCCUUUUGCCUCCCUAGAUCCGCUCUCCACCCUUCUCCACUCUGCCUAGUGUCCCAGAAGGCUAGCCUUUAGGGACUGUAUUAACAGAUUCUCCUGCCCUCUGGCUAACGGUGGGCUCAGUGAAAUACAGCAACAGGAGAUGGAGAGAGGAAAGAGUAAAUUAGAACUUUUAUUCCCCAGAUUCCCUUCGCAUAGAGCUGUCAUGGUUCUUGUCAGACAGGCUUCUUCACACACCUCCCAUUUUCUCUCUCUCUGUCUCUCUCUCUCUGUCCCUCUCUCUCUCUCUCUCUCUCUGUCCCCCUCUCUCUAUCUCUCUCUCUCUCUCUCUCUCUCUCUCACACACACACACACACACACACGCUUCAGGCCUAGAAGUGUACACAGUGCCAUGACCUUUACUAGCUGUCUUCGUCCAUUAGGGCUGCUAUAACUAAACAUCCUCCACUGGAUGGCCUCUAAACAACAGAAAUUUAUUUCUCACAGUUCUUCAGGCUAGGAAGUCCAAAAUUAAGACACCAGUGGAUUUGGUGUUUGGUGAGGGCUUCCUGGUUCAGACAGGCAUCUUUUUGCUGUGUCCUUACAUGGUGGAAGGGCCCAGGGAUCUCUCUCAAGACUCUUUUAUAAGGGCACUAAUCCCAUUCGUGAGGGCUCCACUCCCAUGACCUAGUCACUUCCCAAAGGCCCCACCUCAAAGUACCAUCCCAUUGGGCAUUAGGUUUACAACAUGUGAAUUUGGGGAGCACACAUUCAGUCUACAGCACUAGUCCCACAGUAUGACACAAUCCCAUGUGGUAUCUCUAUACUCUGCCCACACCUUUGUUAAUUUCUUCUCAAAUUACCCAAUUUGACUACACUAUUGUUUUCCUCUUGGGGCUCUGACCAGCCCUAACAUCAAGGAUGAACUUGAUGCCGCCCUGACUCUAAUUUGUGAGGGCUCCUCUAAAAACCAACUGAGAUAAAUUCUUACCUGGUAGGUUGGGGGAAAAAGAUCCCAGGCUAAGUGGAAACAUUUGAUUUGAAGGUAGCUAAUGUUUAAAAUAAUUACCUUAUUAGGAAGAGCUGCACUCCCUUCUGAGACCUGGUGGUGCUUGCUUCAUUUGGAUUCCACAGAUUGUAAAAGGUCCAGUAAUGAGCUUCACAGUAAGAGAUAGUGGAAGGUUCUUUUUCGCCUAGACUGGGUGAGGGGAUGGAAAAGAGGGUAAUACUCGUCGCAUUCAUUUCCUGUUCUAAUGGGUUUUUGAUCAUUUUUGGGUAUCAGAUUGUUCCAUGUAGAAUGUCAGCCAUUUGAAAAGUGGAAAAUUCCACUCUUCUCUUUAAAUAUUAAUACCAAAUCUUAUAAGAACAAUACUGUCAGGCCUAUGAAAGGUAAACUGGUUCAAAGGGACAAAAUGGGGAAAUAGAUCAUAAGGAGUCAAGUGUUCAUGGCAUACCUUUGAAUCCAUUCACUUUUAUACCAUACAAGACCAAUCAAUUCCAAGCAAACUACUAAGUUGAAUCUCAGGGAAUUGCUAUCAUUCUACCAUUUUCUGACCUACAAAAUGGCAAUUUCCUAUGGUUCAACUAACAGAUGACUCUUGCUGUUCUUUAAGAGAACAUGACCUUCAUUUACUUCUCUGUUUCUGGGGAGCAUUUCCUCCUUACUUUAGUGGUGAACGUCAGAUUUUUCUCUGUUGGUUCCUUUGAUAAAAUAUCUGAUAGAUGAGCUUACAAACUUUGUCACAAUAUAUAAUUUUUUAUUAGUGAAUUCAUUAUAUAAGGCACAGUGACUUUGUUCCCUAUAUUUACUCUAUGGAGACUUUCGAUGAGCACACUCACACAAAUCAAUACAAUUCCAAUUCCAGAAUUGUCACUGGAAACAGUGCCUAGACAUAUAUAACCUAUAAAUGAUCACAAAAACCUUUGGACCAAUACCUUGUUGGCUAUUUAAAAUUCUACUCUCAGUUAAAAUUUAUUUAGGAAAACAUUUAGUCCUAGCAAUAAGUACCCUUUUAUUCUGCUAUCUACUUUACGUAAUUGUACUUCCUCAUAAAAAAAAUAAAGGGUAGCCUACUAAUCUUCAACCAAUGCUAAAGGAUCCUUUCCAGUGCUGGCUUACACACUGUUUUCUUUAAGGUCAAAAAAUACCAACCAAUUACGUAUGAGCCAAUUUAUGCAAUGGAUAAAUCCACUGAUGGGAAGAGUGAUGAAGCAUAAUUGCUGUGGGGAGUGCCUGGGGAUUUCAUUUUCCCAAAUAGAGUAUGUCUAGCUUUCAGAGAAAGUUAAAAAUAAAAUCGUCCUCUGAAACUGAAGCUAACAAAAUCAACAUGAUAUAAUGAAACUGGUUCUUUGAUAAAGUAACAUGUAGAGUGAUAAUCGAUGUAUGUAUUGUUUAUAAGACAAAAGUGUCUCAUAAAGGCAUCUAAAACUCUGAUCAGCAAAAAUCUCUUCUAAAUAUAUGUAAAAUACAACUAUAGUCCAGCUAACUCUGAGACGUUAUGUUGUAAAAGGUGGUUUUGAACCAAGAAUUGUGUGUAAUUUCCAGAACGGUCUGUAAAUAAAGUAUUUUGCCCUGUGGUCAUAUCAUAUGCCUACAAUUUUUUUAAAUAGGAAAAUCUGACUUCUGCUUUCACAGGUAUAGUAGUUUCCUGUGGCUGUUAUAACAAAUUACCAUAAACUUGGUAACUUGAAACAGCAGAGAUUUAUUCUCUCACAGUUCUGGAGGCCAAAGUGUGC
rnacentral:lncRNA from 1 species